UACAGAGGUGGCAAGCGUUGUUCGGAAUUACUGGGCGUAAAGGGCGCGUAGGCGGUCCGAUAAGUCCCGUGUGAAAUCCCUCGGCUCAACUGAGGAAUGGCACGGGAAACUGACGGGCUUGAGUUCGGGAGAGGGAAGCGGAAUUCCGGGUGUAGCGGUGAAAUGCGUAGAUAUCCGGAGGAACACCGGUGGCGAAGGCGGCGACCUGGGACAAUACUGACGCUGAGGUGCGAAAGCGUGGGGAGCAAACAGG
rnacentral:rRNA from 1 species